GACGAACGCUGGCGGCGUGCCUAAUACAUGCAAGUAGAACGCUGAAGGAGGAGCUUGCUUCUCUGGAUGAGUUGCGAACGGGUGAGUAACGCGUAGGUAACCUGCCUGGUAGUGGGGGAUAACUAUUGGAAACGAUAGCUAAUACCGCAUAAUAGCAGUUGUUGCAUGAUAACUGUUUGAAAGGUGCAAUUGCACCGCUACCAGAUGGACCUGCGUUGUAUUAGCUAGUUGGUGGGGUAACGGCUCACCAAGGCGACGAUACAUAGCCGACCUGAGAGGGUGAUCGGCCACACUGGGACGGAGACACGGCCCAGACUCCUACGGGAGGCAGCAGUAGGGAAUCUUCGGCGAGGGACGGAAGUCUGACCGAGCAACGCCGAGUGAGUGAAGAAGGUUUUCGGAUCGUAAAGCUCUGUUGUAAGAGAAGAACGAGUGUGAGAGUGGAAAGUUCACACUGUGACGGUAUCUUACCAGAAAGGGACGGCUAACUACGUG
rnacentral:rRNA from 1 species